ACUUAAACUGAAGCCAGAAUUAGCUAACAUAUUUAAAGUUUAGGAUGUAACCUUUAGAAUGGAAGUUGAAUAAAAUAAUUUUCCAGGUAAGAUAAUGGGUUUGAAAGUAAGUCUGUCUGCCUCUCUCUUUCUCUUCUCUAUUAUUAUUUCUAUAUUUGUAUUUCUACUGAUAUAUGUUUAGAAAAUAAAAUUAAAGUUGCCUCCUAAAUUUAAUGGACAAGUUGAUUACCAUGCAUUUAAUUAUAGUACCUUCCUUUACUAGGACUAUAUAGAGGAUAAUAAUAUAGAAGUCUAAAAAUAUUUCAGAGAACUUUUCUGUUUAAGACAUAAUCUUGCUUAUUUUCAAUGAAAUAGGCAACGAUGCCAAAUUAAAGCAAGCUUGUAUGUUUGUAUAAUUCCAUGCACCAAUAUCCGAGAUGGAAAGAGCACA